UGCCAAAGGCAAGAGGGACAGUGAGAGCUGCAACUGGAAGAGGGAGACGUAUAGUAAAGUGCAAGGAAAAUUAGACGGAGGGAGAAGUUAUUGAAGAAAGUCAAGUUCAAUAAUCCUGGAAAGUUCAUUUAAAAUGGAAGAAUAUAGCAACAUUGCAAAAAUUCACUUUAAGAUUACAUUUGAUAUUGCGUCUACAGAGUUCGAGAGGAAGAUUGCUAAGUGUACGGGGGUUUAUAAGAGAUGUUGAUGUGGUCAUGAACACUGGAGGAAUCAUUUGUUUCUCUGCUCCUUAUAUGAUCUAUAUGUCUACCUAAGACUCGGCCUUCCACUUUCACAUGGCCACCAUAGAUAGCUGCGUGCUAUGGCCUUCUUUUAAGAAAUACCUGGAUGUUAACUAUGUAGUUCAGUUAACAAUGGCUUUCGUCCUUUUGGAGGAACAAUCACUCGAGCUCCCCACAAUAAGAUACCACCCUGGCUGGUCAUCUCAUAUCUUCUGUGAAAAUACACUUUCAUUUCGGCAGAUUCCUGUUCUUGUGACCAACCAUAAAGAACU